AAAAGUUAAGCUUAUAUAUAUAUAUAAGUUAUCUAUUUUUUAGUGAAUUUUUUUUCCAUUUUAAUAAAAUUUAUUUCUUCAAAAUCACUAACAAUAUAUAAAAUUAUUCAUUUAACCCUUUAAAAUAUUUAUCUAUCAACUUUUUUUUACUAAUAUAAAAGUUAAUCAAAACUAGGUUAAAGUUACUAAAAAUGAGUAAAGUUAUGUUGGUGUAAAAUAAAUUUAUUGUACACCUUGUGCGCGCAAGACCUUUUGUUACUGCAUUGGCUAGAUUAAACAUGGAUUUGUUGAAUAGCCCAUUAUUUAAACGACGAAUUGGACCAAAUUUUAUCAAAUUGAAGCUAGAAACCCGAUUUACACCCCCAUAGAAAUCAUUUUAUGCAAUAUUAUUACUUACUAUGCCCGGGCUCACUUGCCCGAAAGAGAAAUCCAGGUGUUCGGUGAAAUUCCUGAUUAUCGGUGUCCAAGAACGCUGAAAUCCUUGAAUACUUUGUUAAAUGGGCUUUUGAUUUGCUGGGAAUAUGAUAAAUUGGAAAGGGUUUUUGUUUUUCUUCCCCAAAUGUUAGUAAAUGAUUAAUGAUUAUAAGGAGAGGAAUGAUUUGAGGGGUGCAUGGAAGGUGUAUGAUGAAAUUCUUGAGAGGAGGGUUCAUCCGAAUGAGGUAACUUUUUCAACGUUGAUUACUGGACUUUUUAAGAGUUUGAAGGUGAAGGAAGCUCUUAAUUUGAAGAAAGAUAUUAUGGGGGUUUAAUUGAAAGAGGGUUUAAUUUGCAAAAGUUGCUGGUAUAAAUGGAUCAAUAGUUUGUUUAAUUGUUGCUUGUCUUGACAAUAUAGUAUAUUUGUACAGUUAUUGAUUUGUUUGUGAUCUUAUACGGAUGUGAAUCUUCGUCAAGACUCUUACCGGAAAAACCACCACUCUCGAAUUUGAGAGUUCUGACACUAUCGACAAUGUUAAUUGCAGGGCUACUGGCUUUAAACAGGCUAAUUAAAUUUGCAAUAAGUUGGGAUCAUAAGUUUAUCAGUUAUGUGUAUUCUUCUUACCCCCCCUCUCAUCUCCGUAUUAACAAGUUGGUCCUUGUCACUCUUAUGCAUCAGCUUCCAAAGAAAUUUAGGGUGCAUAAUCCUCAUAAUAGCAUUAGUGCAGCCUUUGCAUUUGCUAUUAUUUCCUUCUGAUUUUGGGAGAUGUUUAGCCAAUGGCCAACCUUCAAUGUCUCUUUCUUUCCUUUCAAAUGGGAGGGUUAAUACUUAUCCAAAUUAAGUGAAUUUAGUGGCUGCAGCUUUUUUUAUUCCUGGUUUGAUUAUCUGGCUUCAGGUAAGUCGGAUCACUAUAUCGAGUACCAUAUGUUGCCAAUGGAUGUUGAUGUGAGAAAUUUACCAGCUCUGGUUUCUAAUAGGCUUUCAUCUAACUGGGCUGCUACUUGAAGAUGAUCAAGCUAGCUUGUGGAACAUGUCCGAGAGAGAAGCUCUUUCAAUUUAUGUCUAUAGAAUGAUGAAUGUAUCUAAGUACAUUUUUCUAUGUCAUAAGAAUUUUCUCAUGCGAUUAUAACACAAGUAACAAACAAAAUAACCGACUUUUUUUGUUCAACUAUUUUCAUAUACUAAUAUGCUCGGGAUUUGCA